CCUACGAGUGGCAGCAGUAGGGAAUCUUUCACAAUGGGCGAACGCCUGAUGGAGCAACGCCGCGUGCAGGAUGAAGGCCUUCGGGUUGUACACUGCUUUUAUAAGCGAGAAAUAUGAUGGUAACUUAUGAAUAAGGAUCGGCUAACUACGUGCCAGCAGCCGCGGUCAUACGUAGGAGCCGAGCAUUAUCCGGAGUAACUGGGUGUAAAGAGUUGCGUAGGUGGCAUAAUAAGUAGCUAGUGAAAACUGGUGGCUCAACCAUUCCGACUAUUAUCUAAAUUGUUAAGAUCGAGACCGUUAGGGGUAACUGGAAUGUCUAGUGUAGGAGUGAAAUCCGUAGAUAUUAGAAGGAACACCAAUAGCGUAGGCAGGUGGCUGGGACGGUUCUGACACUAAGGCACGAAAGCGUAGGGAGCAAACGGGAUUAGAUACCCGAGUAGUC
rnacentral:rRNA from 1 species